AGCGAACGCUGGCGGCAGGCUUAACACAUGCAAGUCGAGCGGGCAUAGCAAUAUGUCAGCGGCAGACGGGUGAGUAACGCGUGGGAACGUACCUUUUGGUUCGGAACAACUGAGGGAAACUUCAGCUAAUACCGGAUAAGCCCUUACGGGGAAAGAUUUAUCGCCGAAAGAUCGGCCCGCGUCUGAUUAGCUAGUUGGUGAGGUAAUGGCUCACCAAGGCGACAAUCAGUAGCUGGUCUGAGAGGAUGAUAAGCCACAUUGGGACUGAGACACGGCCCAAACUCCUACGGGAGGCAGCAGUGGGGAAUAUUGGACAAUGGGCGCAAGCCUGAUCCAGCCAUGCCGCGUGAGUGAUGAAGGCCCUAGGGUUGUAAAGCUCUUUUGUGCGGGAAGAUAAUGACGGUACCGCAAGAAUAAGCCCCGGCUAACUUCGUG
rnacentral:rRNA from 1 species